rnacentral:rRNA from 1 species
UACGUAGGGGGCUAGCGUUGUCCGGAAUCAUUGGGCGUAAAGCGCGCGUAGGCGGCCAGAUAAGUCCGGUGUGAAAGUCACAGGCUCAACCUGUGAAUGCCGCUGGAAACUGUCUGGCUAGAGUCCGGAAGGGGCGAGUGGAAUUCCUGGUGUAGCGGUGAAAUGCGUAGAGAUCGGGAGGAACACCAGUGGCGAAGGCGGCCAUCUGGAUCAACACUGACGCUGAGGCACGAAAGCGUGGGGAGCAAACAGG